rnacentral:rRNA from 1 species
GAUGAACGCUGGCGGCGUGCUUAACACAUGCAAGUCGAACGAAGCACCUUAUUCUGAUUUCUUCGGAAUGAAAAAUUUGGUGACUGAGUGGCGGACGGGUGAGUAACGCGUGGGUAACCUGCCUCAUACAGGGGGAUAACAGUUAGAAAUGACUGCUAAUACCGCAUAAGACCACAGCACCGCAUGGUGCAGGGGUAAAAACUCCGGUGGUAUGAGAUGGACCCGCGUCUGAUUAGGUAGUUGGUGGGGUAACGGCCUACCAAGCCGACGAUCAGUAGCCGACCUGAGAGGGUGACCGGCCACAUUGGGACUGAGACACGGCCCAAACUCCUACGGGAGGCAGCAGUGGGGAAUAUUGCACAAUGGGGGAAACCCUGAUGCAGCGACGCCGCGUGAGCGAUGAAGUAUUUCGGUAUGUAAAGCUCUAUCAGCAGGGAAGAAAAUGACGGUACCUGACUAAGAAGCAC